CUCGGUGAUGCUCAACGUCCGCCUGCAGUGCGGAUCGAGUGAGCAAACGCCCUCCGCCACGGCGGAGAGGGCCAUCCGCGCCUUCCGCGCCAUCCUGGCGGCCGCAGGAAGGACAGCGGGGCGCACAGUGCCUCCAGACUGCGGCGGGGAGAGCAAGCGGCACAGCCAGGGCCCCUCCAUUUUAGGUCUCUGCGAAAGGCCUGAGAAACCGCAUCCCAAACCGCAAAUCCUUCACAGCCCAGUCCUUUUCCUCUGCAUCCAGAGAAUCACCAGAGUCUGGCAAACCUGUUGCCUCCCCAUUGGCCGAAAGCAGGGGAGCCCCCAAAAAGGGAUGAUUUACCAGGCACUGUGCCUGAAGAGGACUCCUGAGAUGUCACCUGAACCCUAAAUGGGAGAGGACUGGGCCAGUGAGGUCUCAGGAAGGCCCUAGACAGUAAAGAUUAUCCAUCCAUCUCUACCUAAGUCAGGCAUUGGUCUUCUGGGGGAUGGCUCAGCCCUUCACUGAACAUUUCAACUCGGAUCCUAGAGGUGCCAUUGUUUCUGAGGCAGUACGGCUAGCAGCUAAGUGAAGAGCCUGCCUAGAAGGAGAAGAAGGGCCUUUCUGCGCUGUCCGGUCAGAGAUGUGGUUUCUGAAGUUGUCACAUGUUGUUUUCUCCCAAAGGUCUGGAGUCAAGGUGUUGAAUCCAUGUUGAACCUCAAGAGUAAGGGGAAAUGAAACCAUCUCUACAGGCCACUGCUGCAGCCCAGAGUCCUCGCUGCAGUAGCCCGAAGUUUGAUCCCAAGGAUGCACAUGGGGCUCACAACACUGUGCAACGUCAGUCCCAGAGGAGCCAGCGAUGUCUUCUACACUAUCCUGGGACCAAUGGUGUACUCUUCGCUAAAAUCAUGCACACAGGCAAAAUGGCUAUUGAAGGAAACUUCAUGAUUUUGAAGCGCCCAGAACUUGAUGCCAAAUACCCACGUAGGAUGCACAGUGGCCCACAACUCCAUUUCCGGGGCACCCAAGGCACCCUUCUGCCCUAUUCUGGGACCAGGAAUGCAGUUGCUGCUUAGAACACACACUCGGGCAAAACAGCCGUUC
rnacentral:lncRNA from 1 species